rnacentral:rRNA from 1 species
UGAACGCUAGCUACAGGCUAACACAUGCAAGUCGAGGGGCAGCGGGAAGAAAGCUUGCUUCUUGCCGGCGACCGGCGGCACGGGUGAGUAACGCGUAUCCAAUCUUCCCCUUAGUAGGGCAUAGCCCGUAGAAAUGCGGAUUAAUACCCUAUGUUAUUCGUCGAGGACAUCUGAAGUGAAUCAAAGGUUUACCGCUAAGGGAUGGGGAUGCGUCCGAUUAGGCAGCAGGCGGGGUAACGGCCCACCUGGCCAACGAUCGGUAGGGGUUCUGAGAGGAAGGUCCCCCACAUUGGAACUGGGACACGGUCCAAACUCCUACGGGAGGCAGCAGUGAGGAAUAUUGGUCAAUGGGCGCGAGCCUGAACCAGCCCAAGUAGCGUGCAGGACGACGGCCCUAUGGGUUGUAAACUGCUUUUAUACGGGGAUAAAGUGAGGGACGUGUCCCUUUUUGUAGGUACCGUAUGAAUAAGGACCGGCUAAUUCCGUGCCAGCCGCGGC